rnacentral:rRNA from 1 species
UACGUAGGGGGCAAGCGUUGUCCGGAUUUAUUGGGCGUAAAGAGCGUGUAGGCGGCCAGGUAGGUCCGUUGUGAAAACUGGAGGCUUAACCUCCAGCUGUCGAUGGAAACCAUCUGGCUAGAGUCCGGAAGAGGAGAGUGGAAUUCCUGGUGUAGCGGUGAAAUGCGCAGAUAUCAGGAAGAACACCGGUGGCGAAGGCGGCUCGCUGGGCCAGAUCCGACACUCAUCCGCGAAAGCGUGGGGAGCAAACAGG